rnacentral:rRNA from 1 species
AUUGAACGCUGGCGGCAGGCCUAACACAUGCAAGUCGAACGGCAGCACAGAAGAGCUUGCUCUUUGGGUGGCGAGUGGCGGACGGGUGAGUAAUGUCUGGGAAACUGCCCGAUGGAGGGGGAUAACUACUGGAAACGGUAGCUAAUACCGCAUAACGUCGCAAGACCAAAGUGGGGGACCUUCGGGCCUCACACCAUCGGAUGUGCCCAGAUGGGAUUAGCUAGUAGGUGGGGUAAUGGCUCACCUAGGCGAAGAUCCCUAGCGGGUCUGAGAGGAUGACCAGCCACACUGGAACUGAGACACGGUCCAGACUCCUACGGGAGGCAGCAGUGGGGAAUAUUGCACAAUGGGCGCAAGCCUGAUGCAGCCAUGCCGCGUGUAUGAAGAAGGCCUUCGGGUUGUAAAGUACUUUCAGCGGGGAGGAAGGCGGUGAGGUUAAUAACCUUGCCGAUUGACGUUACCCGCAGAAGAAGCACCGGCUAACUCCGUGCCAGCCGCCGCCGUAA